AUGAAUUACAACUCGAAACUAGAACAAGAUAUGACUCCGGGAUGGUGCAAUGAAUCAAGAGUGACAUGUAUGAAAAAUUAUGCAUGGUGGCUUUGCCACAAAUACGAUGUCAACUACAUGAUCAUGCAAUGGCAAUAUGACAAAAGUAAAGUGUGUCAUGAUGAUGAACGGAACGGUGGAAAGUUGCAUGGCAAUAUAUCUCGGAAUGGCUAUGGAAAUGCCAUAAUAGGUAGGUAUGGUGGCUGUUUUGAGGAAGAUAUAAGGAGGUUUAUGUGUGAUAGAGUGUAUCGUAUCACGGGGUUUGGAUGCACCGGCGAAGUUUGCACCAACUCUCAAGGUGAGAAAGGGAAAUGCACGGUACCGAAGAGGCUAGCAAUGGGGGAAAGGUAA
rnacentral:rRNA from 1 species